CGCCAAUACCUUCGCUCCUCAGCAGAAAGCUUCUCAGGGUCCGACACAGAUCGUGGGGCCGAGUGAGGACUCCGGUGCUGAGAGGUAUCUGUUGGAUGAAGACAUAACUUCCCAGGCCAGAAUCCCUCAGAAGUCGUUGAGUUCACCUUCUGGAAGCCUGGGCACUGGGCGGAAGACUUAUGGCCUAAGUCACUCACCGUACACCACCACUGUCUUUGAUCCUCUCUGGGAACCAUCAAGAGCAGGACAACGGUGCGACUCCAGUCAUCCCUCCUGGUCGCUGCGAUGCUCGGCUCCGUGACAGCUGCCAACACCUUCCUCAGGGUCGCUUCCGAGUUUGCCAGCAACACCAACAGAUCGGACUGCUGGAUCUGCUUGCGGGCCCCAGCACACGCUGAUGAUGCGCUGCCACUCAGGCCGAUCCCGCUGGAUGACAUUGAGAUGAACUGUUUACACAGACUGUUUGCUCCUGCUGGUUUUGGCAUAUCUGUUUGGGGAGGGGGGGGGGAGCCUGCUGGCAGUCCCUCACCACUCUCCUCACCAUUACACAUCUCUUCCAUUGACCCCUCCCCCCCACCCCCGGCUGUCCCGGGAGGUGAUCCAGAUGACCAGCGUGCUCGAGACUCUGGCCAACGAGACGGCAGUGGCACUGCAACACACCAAGGAUGCCCUCACCCGAACGGCGGCAGAACUGACAGCUGUCAGCAUGGUCGCCCUGCAGACCCGAAUGGCAUUGGACUACCUACUCGCUGCUGAUGGAGGAACGUGUGCAGUGGUUGGUGAGGAAUGCUGUACCUUUAUCCCUGAUGAGUCCCUCAACAUCACUCACUUGGCCGCUCACAUUCGGGACUCGGUGGCUAAAAUUCAAAAAUCAAGGGACCAGCUCCUCCAGCACAACACCUCAUGGGGCAAUUGGUGGCUGUUUGGGUCCCUAGGGGGUUGGCGGGCAACUGUCAUUCACUGGUCCAUCGCACUCAUUCUUGUAAUCAGAGCCAUUUCUAUACUAUGUUGCGCAUGCCAGCUGAUUGAGUGUCUCUGCAUUUACUUAGCUGCUCAAAAUUGGUUAUUUCUGAUAUAUGCGAUAUCGUUUCACCCUGUUAUGUGUGUUGGCUAUGUGGUGCGAGGGCUGGAGUGUAUCCAGAGAUACCGGCCACGUGACAGAUGCACUGCCACCUGGUUGGUCGGAGGACACCACAUGCCAAUCAACAUUUGGUCCCUCCCAACUAAUCAAUGCACACCUAAAUUAUCGGUCACCUUAAUUGGAUUAUCUCGCCCAGCCCCAUGCUAUAAAAGAUGAGAUUUGUCCCUGGCUCGCCCUCUCUUACAGACCACCUCAUUGAAGGCAAGUGCAUUGGUUUAUGUUUGGGAAGGUCUAUCGUUUGUCCUGGUAAGGAAGCCGAAGCUAUCCAAGGUCUAGGGGGAUAGCUGUUGGAGUGCUUUUCCCGUGUUCUUUGUUUGUGUAACCGUACCCUGUCCCCACACCGCUUCCUGUGUAUUGUAGUUGCUUGUGUUGACCCGACUUCCCCUUGUAAAUAAAUUCCUUAUU